GCCGCGGUAGCUCAGUUGGUUAGAGCGUCGCACGCGUAAUGCGAAGGCGUGGGAUCAAUUCCCCACCUGCGGCA
rnacentral:tRNA from 1 species